UACGGGGGGGGCAAGCGUUGUUCGGAAUUACUGGGCGUAAAGGGCGCGUAGGCGGCUUGGCAAGUGGAAGGUGAAAUCCCUCGGCUUAACCGAGGAACUGCCCUCCAAACUGCUUCGCUUGAGACCGGGAGAGGUGAGUGGAAUUCCCAGUGUAGCGGUGAAAUGCGUAGAUAUUGGGAGGAACACCAGUGGCGAAGGCGGCUCACUGGACCGGAACUGACGCUGAUGCGCGAAAGCGUGGGGAGCAAACGGG
rnacentral:rRNA from 1 species